UACUCUAGUGUGCUUCCACGUAGAUGGAU
rnacentral:sRNA from 1 species